rnacentral:rRNA from 1 species
AUGUUCUGUUACAAAGAUGCAAACUGCACUACCGAUUUCACAAUUUUCCACCGGCACUUUUUGGAACGUCCGUUGCGUACUGGUGGCACUUUUGGAACGGAAAGCACAAGGCCUUCUAUAGGAAACUAUAGUUGCAUGAUACAUAGGAUAAAUUUUCCAAAUAAAGGUGGCCAACAUAAUUUAUUUAGUCUGAAACUUCAGGUGCUGCAAAUAAUUGUGCUUCAAUUGUUCAAGAAGACAAGUUGGAUUGCAGGACCUCUCCUCUUCUCCUCUCUGAAGAAAUAUUUAUUAUUAUCCAUGGGGUCGGAGCAACAGCGUCUUGGGAAGGGAAGAAGCAAGCACAUAGAGAACUUCCAUGGCACGGCUGCUAGUGCGUGGUUAUGUAUAUGGAGCCCGAGGUGGAUCCGACGCUCGGAGCAGAGGUGCUCGACGACGAUGGCGCUGGCGGAUCUGGGCGUGCCAUGGCCGCCGCCUGACCUGCUCUUGGUCGCGGCGGAUCUGCCUCCCUCUUUUCUUGUCCUAUCUUCAGGAGGCACCUUCGGCUUGGAACAUGGGGGGAGCACCACAUUCUAG